rnacentral:ncRNA from 1 species
UAAAGGUUUGGUCCUGGCCUUUUCAUUAGUUGUUAAUAAGCUUAUACAUGCAAGCAUCCCCAUCCCGGUGAAAAUGCCUUUUAACAUUUCAAAAGAAAUUAAAAGAGCCGGUAUCAAGCACACUUCCACAGUAGCUAAUAACACCUUGCUUAGCCACACCCCCACGGGAAACAGCAGUAAUAAAAAUUAAACAAUGAACGAAAGUUUGAUUUAGCUAUAUUAUAUAAGGGUGGUAAACAUCGUGCCAGCCACCGCGGUCAUACGAUGGCCCUAAACUAAUAAACACCGGCGUAAAGGGUGCUAAGAUAACCUACCAAAUAAGAAUAACACUGAUUUAAGUCGUAAAAAACUAAAAAUCAAUACAAACCCAGCCGUGAAAAUGUUCUUAGUAUUAUCUAAUCACUAAAGCUAGGGUACAAACUGGGAUUAGAUACCCCACUAUGCCUAGCCAUAAACACAAGUAGUUUUCAACAAAACUACUCGCCAGAGAACUACAAGCCACCGCUUAAAACUCAAAGGACUUGGCGGUACUUCACACCCUUCUAGAGGAGCCUGUUCUAUAAUCGAUAAACCCCGAUAAACCUUACCGCCCUUAGCUAAUCCAGUCUAUAUACCGCCAUCUUCAGCAAACCUUAUUAAAGCAUAAAAGUACGCGCAAUUAUCCACCCAUAAAAAAGUUAGGUCAAGGUGUAACCCAUAGAGCGGACAGUAAUGGGCUACAUUUUCUACCAUUAGACCACACGAAAACCUGUGUGAAACUCACCAGUUAAAGGAGGAUUUAGUAGUAAACCAGGACUAGAGAGCCUGGUUGAAAUAGGCUAUGAAGUAUGCACACACCGCCCGUCACCCUCCUCAAAUAUACAGUUUUAACCAGUUCAUAUACCCCACAAAAACAUACUCAGAGGAGAUAAGUCGUAACAAGGUAAGUGUACCGGAAGGUGCGCUUGGCAUAC